GAAAUGCGAUAAGUAAUGUGAAUUGCAGAAUUCAGUGAAUCAUCGAAUCUUUGAACGCACAUUGCGCCCGCCAGUAUUCUGGCGGGCAUGCCUGUCCGAGCGUCAUUUCAACCAUCAAGCCCCCGGGCUUGUGUUGGGGACCUGCGGCUGCCCGCGGGCCCUGAAAACCAGUGGCGGGCUCGCUGUCACACCGAGCGUAGUAGCAAUCACCUCGCUCAGGGCGUGCUGCGGGUUCCGGCCGUUAAACAGCCUUACAAAACCCAAGGUUGACCUCGGAUCAGGUAGGAAGACCCGCUGAACUUAAGC
rnacentral:misc_RNA from 1 species